CGCAUCUGUGCACUGCAGCAUAUCAAUAAGCGGAGGAAAAGAAACUAACAAGGAUUCUCCUAGUAACGGCGAGUGAAGCGGGAAGAGCUCAAAUUUGAAAUCUUAAAGGGUUUCCCUUUACGAAUUGUAGUUUAAAGAAGUGUUUUCUGUUGAGGUUUUGGUAAAAGUUCUUUGGAAUAGGACAUCAUAGAGGGUGAGAAUCCCGUAUUUGACCUUUACUUUCAACUUUGUGAUACACUUUCAAAGAGUCGGAUUGUUUGGGAAUGCAGUCCAAAAUGGGUGGUAAAUUUCAUCUAAAGCUAAAUAUUGGCGAGAGACCGAUAGCGAACAAGUACCGUGAGGGAAAGAUGAAAAGAACUUUGAAAAGAGAGUUAAACAGUACGUGAAAUUGUCAAAAGGGAAGCGUUUGACACCAGUGUUGUUUUUCUGAAAAUCAAUUAAAGAACUGUUUAUGCUAAGUUGUUUAGACUUUAUCAGCUAUCUGUUUAGUUUUGAGCUUUUCUUUAAUGCACCUUUCAGUUAACAAGUCAACAUCAAUUUCUUUUGCUGUAAAAAAGCUUGAGGAAGGUGGCUUGAGAUUCGUCUUAAGUGUUUAUAGCCUCUUGCCUAUGCAGUCGGAGAGAUUGAGGUCUGCAGCGUAGAUCCUUCGGGGCUAAAUGCAUUUGUGCUAAGUUAUAGCAUUUUAUAGACAACUUGUUGACUAUGAUUUGUCUUGUAGCUUACUCGCUUAUGUUAUUUUACCUACGCUUAGGAUGUUGAACGCGCACAGAGUCUC
rnacentral:rRNA from 1 species